rnacentral:rRNA from 1 species
GGAGGAUGCGAGCGUUAUCCGGAUUUAUUGGGUNUAAAGGGAGCGUAGGUGGACUGGUAAGUCAGUUGUGAAAGUUUGCGGCUCAACCGUAAAAUNGCAGUUGAUACUGUCAGUCUUGAGUACAGUAGAGGUGGGCGGAAUUCGUGGUGUAGCGGUGAAAUGCUUAGAUAUCACGAAGAACCCCGAUUGCGAAGGCAGCCUGCCAAGCCAUGACUGACGCUGAUGCACGAAAGCGUGGGGAUCAAACAGGAUUAGAUACCCUGGUAGUCCACGCAGUAAACGAUGAUCACUAGCUGUUUGCGAUACACUGUAAGCGGCACAGCGAAAGCGUUAAGUGAUCCACCUGGGGAGU